GAGGAAUAUUGGUCAAUGGGCGAAAGCCUGAACCAGCCAUGUCGCGUGAAGGAUGAAGGUCCUAUGGAUUGUAAACUUCUUUUGCAGGAGGGUAAAGUGAGCUACGUGUAGUUCAUUGCAAGUACCCUGCGAAUAAGCAUCGGCUAACUCCGUGCCAGCAGCCGCGGUAAUACGGAGGAUGCGAGCGUUAUCCGGAUUUAUUGGGUUUAAAGGGUGCGUAGGCGGACUAAUUAGUCAGCGGUGAAAUUUUGCGGCUCAACCGUAAAACUGCCGUUGAAACUGUUAGUCUUGAGUGCGGUAGAGGUAGGCGGAAUGUGUGGUGUAGCGGUGAAAUGCUUAGAUAUCACACAGAACACCGAUUGCGUAGGCAGCUUACUGGAGCGCAACUGACGCUGAGGCACGAAAGCGUGGGGAUCGAAC
rnacentral:rRNA from 1 species